UGGGGAAUAUUGCACAAUGGGCGCAAGCCUGAUGCAGCCAUGCCGCGUGUAUGAAGAAGGCCUUCGGGUUGUAAAGUACUUUCAGCGGGGAGGAAGGGAGUAAAGUUAAUACCUUUGCUCAUUGACGUUACCCGCAGAAGAAGCACCGGCUAACUCCGUGCCAGCAGCCGCGGUAAUACGGAGGGUGCAAGCGUUAAUCGGAAUUACUGGGCGUAAAGCGCACGCAGGCGGUUUGUUAAGUCAGAUGUGAAAUCCCCGGGCUCAACCUGGGAACUGCAUCGGAUACUGGCAAGCUAGAGUCUCGUAGAGGGGGGUAGAAUUCCAGGUGUAGCGGUGAAAUGCGUGGAGAUCUGGAGGAAUACCGGUGGCGAAGGCGGCCCCCUGGACGAAGACUGACGCUCAGGUGCGAAAGCGUGGGGAGCAAACAGG
rnacentral:rRNA from 1 species